rnacentral:rRNA from 1 species
UACGGGGGGAGCAAGCGUUGUUCGGAUUUACUGGGCGUAAAGGGCGCGUAGGCGGUCAGCACAAGUCAGUUGUGAAAUCUCCGAGCUUAACUCGGAAAGGUCAACUGAUACUGUGCGACUAGAGUGCAGAAGGGGCAACUGGAAUUCUUGGUGUAGCGGUGAAAUGCGUAGAUAUCAAGAGGAACACCUGAGGUGAAGACGGGUUGCUGGGCCGACACUGACGCUGAUGCGCGAAAGCCAGGGGAGCAAACGGG